AUGCACGCUGGCGGCGUGCCUAAUACAUGCCAGUCGAGCGAACAGACGAGGAGCUUGCUCCUCUGACGUUAGCGGCGGACGGGUGAGUAACACGUGGAUAACCUACCUAUAAGACUGGGAUAACUUCGGGAAACCGGAGCUAAUACCGGAUAAUAUAUUGAACCGCAUGGUUCAAUAGUGAAAGACGGUUUUGCUGUCACUUAUAGAUGGAUCCGCGCCGCAUUAGCUAGUUGGUAAGGUAACGGCUUACCAAGGCAACGAUGCGUAGCCGACCUGAGAGGGUGAUCGGCCACACUGGAACUGAGACACGGUCCAGACUCUUACGGGAGGCAGCAGUAGGGAAUCUUCCGCAAUGGGCGAAAGCCUGACGGAGCAACGCCGCGUGAGUGAUGAAGGUCUUCGGAUCGUAAAACUCUGUUAUUAGGGAAGAACAAAUGUGUAAGUAACUAUGCACGUCUUGACGGUACCUAAUCAGAAAGCCACGGCUAACUACGUG
rnacentral:rRNA from 1 species